GACGAACGCUGGCGGCGUGCCUAAUACAUGCAAGUCGAACGCUUCUUUCCUCCCGAGUGCUUGCCCUCAAUUGGAAAGAGGAGUGGCGGACGGGUGAGUAACACGUGGGUAACCUACCCAUCAGAGGGGGAUAACACUUGGAAACAGGUGCUAAUACCGCAUAACAGUUUAUGCCGCAUGGCAUAAGAGUGAAAGGCGCUUUCGGGUGUCGCUGAUGGAUGGACCCGCGGUGCAUUAGCUAGUUGGUGAGGUAAUGGCUCACCAAGGCCACGAUGCAUAGCCGACCUGAGAGGGUGAUCGGCCACACUGGGACUGAGACACGGCCCAGACUCCUACGGGAGGCAGCAGUAGGGAAUCUUCGGCAAUGGACGAAAGUCUGACCGAGCAACGCCGCGUGAGUGAAGAAGGUUUUCGGAUCGUAAAACUCUGUUGUUAGAGAAGAACAAGGACGUUAGUAACUGAACGUCCCCUGACGGUAUCUAACCGGAAAGCCACGGCUAACUACGUG
rnacentral:rRNA from 1 species